rnacentral:tRNA from 1 species
AAAAAGCUUAUCGUGAUAGGAUAAAUUAUGUAAUACUUCAUUUUACCUUUACUACAUUUAAUA